rnacentral:rRNA from 1 species
AUUGAACGCUGGCGGCAGGCCUAACACAUGCAAGUCGAGCGGAGCGGCGGACGGGUGAGUAAUGCCUAGGAAUCUGCCUGGUAGUGGGGGAUAACGUCCGGCAACGGGCGCUAAUACCGCAUACUAUCAGAUGAGCCUAGGUCGGAUUAGCUAGUUGGUGGGGUAAAGGCCCACCAAGGCGACGAUCCGUAACUGGUCUGAGAAGAUGAUCAGGCACCCUGUAACUUAGACACGGUCCAGCCUCCUACGGGACGCAGCAGUGGUGAAGAUUGGACAAUGGGCUAAAGCCUGAGCCAGCCAUGCCUCGUGUGUGAAGAAGGUCUUCGGAUUGUAAAGCACUUUAAGUUGGGAGGCGUUACCAACAGAAUAAGCACCGGCUAACUUCGUGCCAGCAGCCGCGGUAAUAC